GAGUUAAGCUGUCUCCUUUUUCUAAUCAGUUAAACUAAUCUCCCCGUGAAGAAGCGGGGAUACAACUAUAAGACGAGAAGACCCUAUGGAGCUUAAAAUUUUAUUUCAACUGCCGCACCCAUAAAAGUUCCGACUACCCAUAAUUUACUUAGCAUUAUGAUAAUAAAUUUUAGGUUGGGGCGACCAUGGAGAAUAAAAAAACCUCCACAUUGAAUAUAGGCCUCUUAGCCUUGAGCCAAGAGCUACGACUCGAUGUACUAAAACAUUAACAUCCAUUGACCCAAUUAUUUGAUCAACGAACCAAGUUACCCUAGGGAUAACAGCGCAAUCCACUUUAAGAGCCCCUAUCGACAAGUGGGUUUACGACCUCGAUGUUGGAUCAGGGUAUCCCAGUGGUGCAGCCGCUGCAAAANGUUCGUUUGUUCAACGAUUAAAACCCUACGUGAUCUGAGNNCAGACCGGAGCAAUCCAGGUCAGUUUCUAUCUANAAAGAGCUUCUUCUAGUACGAAAGGACCAAAAAAGCAUGGCCUAUGCCUCAAGCAAGCCAUAGUGAGUAAUUUGUGAUUCGAACUCAACAAACAACUCACCUUCUACUAACCUCAAAACAAGAGAA
rnacentral:rRNA from 1 species